rnacentral:rRNA from 1 species
AGAACGAACGCUGGCGGCAUGCCUAACACAUGCAAGUCGAACGCUUUUGGGGCUUCGGUCCCAAAGGAGUGGCGCACGGGUGAGUAGCGCGUGGGAACCUGCCCUGUUGUGGGGGAUAACCGAGGGAAACUUCGGCUAAUACCGCAUACGCCCGGGGGAAACUCCGGGGAAAGAUUUAUCGCAGCAGGAGGGGCCCGCGUCGGAUUAGGUAGUUGGUGGGGUAACGGCCCACCAAGCCUGUGAUCCGUAGCUGGUCUGAGAGGAUGAUCAGCCACACUGGGACUGAGACACGGCCCAGACUCCUACGGGAGGCAGCAGUGGGGAAUAUUGGACAAUGGGCGCAAGCCUGAUCCAGCAAUGCCGCGCGAGUGAUGAAGGCCUUCGGGUUGUAAAGCUCUUUCGCACGCGACGAUGAUGACGGUAGCGUGAGAAGAAGCCCCGGCUAACUUCGCGCCAGCAGCCGC